rnacentral:lncRNA from 1 species
GAUUCGAUUUAAUGUACGAUCCAUUCUGAGCUCCAACAACUCCAAUGCGGUCUAACGUACGACCCAUUCGGAUCCUCAACUACUCAGAUGCUACCUAGUGUACGGUACAUUUCUGAAGUGUAGUCUAGUGUACGACCACCCCUUUCAUCAUCAGAUUCAGCCUAACGGACGGCUCUCUCUUCAACUCAGAUACGAUCUAGCGUAUGGUCCAUUCUGAUCCUUUAUUCCCCAACAGCAUAUGACACACUCCGACUCCCCAGCGAAGUCGGCAGCCUAAUGGAUGACUCAUUAUUCGGUCUAAUGUACGACCCAGUGUGGCACCCAUGUCUUCAAAUUGGCCUAAUGUACGGCUCGAUCUGAAGCUUUCGUCAUCAAACCUCCCGGAUGGCAUCUUUAAGCCCAUCUCCAUCAAGACCAACUGUCGAUUCUCAAGUGCAAAUUUUU